UGUAAAAAUUUAUCAAAAAUUAAAAUCCAGAGCUUUGUUGUGAUUUUUAAUGCAAUAUUGCUAUUUAUCAUUCUGUUAUUAACAUUUUCAUUCUCUUAAGCUUUAAAUAAGUAGUAAAGAGCGAACACGUAUGUAAAAAAACUGCACAACCGGCUUAAUUAUAAUUACAAAAUCUUGACUUAAUUUAAAAUAUACGAUUUCCUAUACAAAUACUAAAUAAAGUACGUGCAUUACAGAACACAUGGUUAAAUAGCAACAACAACAUAAAAGAAAACAACAAUAAUAAGGAAAAAUAUUAACAGAAACAAAAACUAAACCAGUUAUUUAACUACAACUUAAAUCAGCCAGUCAAACAACAAUAGUUUAUUAAAUUCAACAAAAACACUUGAUCAAUGAUCAAUUCCCCCCAAAAAAAUCAAAGAGAAAUAUCUGAAAUCUCUCACACUCUCUCUCUAACUCAUGCAUUUGCCCAUACAUAUUUACAAACAUUUGGAAAUGGAUGUAUGUAUCUUGUUAAAAGGGGGGAUCGUCUCUGUUAAUAAAAUAUCUACAUAACAUUGUUUCUCUCUUAGUUGCUGUUAAAGCUUAACCAUAGUAAAAUACAUUUAUUUUAUUUUGUCUUUCUUAUCUAUUCGAUUGAAUGUUAAAAUUUCUGUUCAACAUUUUAAAUACGAAUUUCAGUCAACGCCGUAUAUUCGAUUCAAAAACAACGACCGUUUUACGCGACGGUAGAAAAACAGCGUUUUCCUUUUAAUAAAGAGAAUUUAGCUUUUUAAAAAUUAAAAAAAAAAAUAAACUAUCAAAAUAAAUAAACGUGAAUUUGAUUAUAAAAGGAAAGUGAUCUCAUGAACAAAAAUAUAUUUAAAAAUCAAAUUUGAGCAGAUAUUUUUGUUAAACAUAUAAAAACGGAAAAAUUUUACACGACAACUAUUUUUAUUUAAAAG